UAGCAAAGCUGAAAAUGAAAUAAAUAAAACAACAAAAUUAAAAAGUUAAAAAAAAAAAUCAAAAUCAAAAUUAAAAAUUUCCUGGUAAGUGAGAACAAUAGAUGAAGGGAAUAGAAAUGAUUUCAAUUAUGACUUCAUUAAAUUCUAGACAGCCAACGUUCCAGAAAUCCUAAAAAAUGCCAAACAAAUCUUCCAGCAGAUUGCAAAAGUCCUUAGCACAUUCCAAGGACGAAACGACUAAAACAAUGAACCUGUUCUCUGGGAGUAUGUUCACAUUUUGCGCGCCGUGGUCUAGACUUAAUGAUGUAGCCUCCCCAUACCACAUGCUACUAGAUCCAAGAGGAUAGCUCAAUGACGGAAGAUUUACUUCUUUCGAGCGACACAGUGAAUCUGACACCUGGUUAUCGACUAAUGGAACCGCGUUAUCCUCAGACUCAAGAGAGGA